rnacentral:rRNA from 1 species
UAUAACGCGAAGAACCUUACCAGGUCUUGACAUCUUCUGACAGUUUAAGAGAUUAGAGGUUCCCUUCGGGGACAGAAUGACAGGUGGUGCAUGGUUGUCGUCAGCUCGUGUCGUGAGAUGUUGGGUUAAGUCCCGCAACGAGCGCAACCCUUAUUACUAGUUGCCAGCAUUAAGUUGGGCACUCUAGUGAGACUGCCGGUGACAAACCGGAGGAAGGUGGGGACGACGUCAAAUCAUCAUGCCCCUUAUGACCUGGGCUACACACGUGCUACAAUGGAUGGUACAACGAGUCGCGAGACCGCGAGGUUAAGCUAAUCUCUUAAAACCAUUCUCAGUUCGGACUGUAGGCUGCAACUCGCCUACACGAAGUCGGAAUCGCUAGUAAUCGCGCAUCAGAAUCGCCAAUGCUGU